CUAGAUCCCCGAACUGCGCCGGAGUGCGGGGCCAGCUGCGCCGCGGAUCUAGAUCCUGAGUGGUCACUUUUCCCCGUUUGGUGCUAGCCAUGGCAGCCAGGCUAGAUGCUUCGGGAGAAGGCUAAGCUCUCAGAUUAGUUGUAACAUAAGCUGCUCGCUCGUGCCGCCUCGGGAUACCUGUAAGAAGUAGCGAGUGGUGCUGGUCCGAUCGCCGGUGCUUGCGUUGCUUUUUUCAUGCUCGUGUGGCAUUAUCAGGGGGAAGGUAACGGAAACACUCCAAAGUAUACAUAUUCAGGCUAAGAAUGGCUCACGCACAUAUUCUUAGCUUUUUAUGUUGGUAUGAUCUGGUCACCAAGUGGAGCUUAUUAUGGAAAUGGGUCAGCGGUUUGAGUCGAGUGAGAUUCUGGUUGCCACUGAGCCAGAGUUGUUUGAAAUGAAUCGACAUGUUGCCGCAGGUAAGAGAUUUAGGAGCAAGACUGUGAUUGAUGGGUCUCCAGCCUAACCAGGAUGGUGGUUUUGGUUUUGCGGCGGCUGUAACUGCAAGUCAGUUCAGGAAGGACCCGUCUAUAGGCGUAGCAACGAAAAGUGUCGCUGCAAGAGUGCGAGCCCUAGGUUUUGCAUCUCUGUGGUAGUGUUUGGAGACGGGGCUUCUGUGGAGAUGGUUUUUUUCCGGUGAUGUGGGGUGGGGUUUGGUUGGCAAGCCUGUUUCCAUCUUGGUUGCCAAGAAUUGCAUCCUCUUUUCUGUUGCGACCCUGCAGAACUAGCUAUGUUGAUGGGCAGAAGCUACAUUGUUGAUGUCAGGGUGUCCCGGUAUUCGUUUCACGGUGAGGAUAAUCCCUUCCAAGCUGUUAGGUUCUGCCCUGAAGGUAGUUUUGUCUUUGUUGGCCAUGAUGCUUCGCUUAUAGUCACUGGUAAAGCGCCUAAGUGGCUGGCUGUCUCUGGUGAGAGCUCUGCUGUCGAGGAGACUGACAGUGUUGGUGCGGCCUCUCUCUUGCUAUUUCAGUUAUUUUAAGUUUAGCUUUUUCUGCAUGUGUCCCUAACUGAUCUUGAAGGAUCUGGAGAUACUGAGGCUGAGGCAGCGCUUGCUCUUUCAUCUGAUGAUGCAGGCUUGCACACAACGCUGCCUGCGCCUGCCUUUGUCUAUGCGCAUCUGUUUGAUGUCCUGUCAUUCUGCCUUACCAAGUGUAUCAGCUGAGACCUUUUUUUGUUCCAGGAAACUCCAGGCGAGAAGUCAUCGGUCGACAUCGAUCAGACUGAUGAUCUGGGCGUUGCCGAUGAUGAACUACUUUUGGAUAGCCAUUCUGAGAAAAGGGAAGGUAGCGCCAAGAGGCUGCUAUUCGAGGCAGCGAGAAAGCUGGUGUUGAGAAGGCAGGAAGGAAGGUACCGUCAUUGAAGGCUGUGCAGCAAUUUGUCGGUCUCCAAACCAGCCGGUGAGGAUGCAACAGUGUCUUAGUAGCCUGGCCUCAUGGGAACCACAGUAUUCCCGAGCAACCAUGUUGUCCAUGAUCUGCGCAUCAAUCUCAUAUGGCGGCGCUUAGCCGAUCCAUUCUCUACAGGCGAAGCCAUGAUGAGCCUUCUCCGUCUGGUAUACAGGCGUGCCGCCGCCUAUUCUUUCCAGUUCGUUCUGCGAGAGCGCGGAGAGAAAUCAGGAUGGCCUGGUGCUGGCCUGUUUGAAAAUCGAUGGGGAACAAGGAAGGUAUUCUGUAACAACGAAUAUACUACUAGCAGAGUUUGGACAGAUCGCCUCUACCGUUUGGUGGCGCGUCGAUGGCGGCAAGCUCCAUCGGUAGAGCGCUGCUUCAGCACCUUGUAUGCUCGCACUGUCUCAUUCUACUAUGAAUGUUAACAAUGAUAGAGCAUGGGUGUUCGUGAUACC